AAGUUAUUUCAAUUUUCUUUCACAAUACUAUUGCACUAUAAUUAAAAUUAUUUUUUCUAUAUUAAAUACUAAAACAAAUUUUUAUAUAAUUAUUUUUAAUAAUUUAAAUUUUUAAAAAAUAUAAAUUAAUAAAUAAAAUCUAAUCAAUUUAUAUUGAUUUGCACAAAAAUCUUUUCAAUGUAAAUGAAAUACUUUACUUUAUAAGCUUUAAAUUGCAUUCUAGGUACACUUUCCAGUACAUCUACUAUGUUACGACUUAUCUUACCUUAAUAAUAAGAGUGACGGGCGAUGUGUGCAUAUUUUAGAGCUAAAAUCAAAUUAUUUAUCUUUAUAAUUUUACUAUCAAAUCCACCUUUAAUAAAUUUUUCAAAUUUAUAUCCGUAUAAAUAAAUUUAUUGUAACCCAUUACUUCUUAAAUAUAAGCUACACCUUGAUCUGAUAUAUUUUCUUUUUAAAAAUUUUGAAAAUUAACAUUCUUAUAAAAUAUUCUAAUAACGACGGUAUAUAAACUGACUACAAAUUUAAGUAAGGUCCAUCGUGGAUUAUCGAUUAUAGAACAGGUUCCUCUGAAUAGACUAAAAUACCGCCAAAUUUUUUAAGUUUCAAGAACAUAACUA
rnacentral:rRNA from 1 species